GUGCGUGGGGGCGGAAUAAAGGUGAGUCCCUUCUCCAACAGAUUAAUUUGGGCUUGAUUGGGUCGGAAUAGUGUUGCUAAAUUUAGAAUAUUCGAUUCCGAGCCCCAGGUGAAUUCCGGAGCGACGGUAACGGUCCGGUCCUGCGUAAACGGUCGUAAAUUAAUCGAGCGUGCUACAGUUGGGGCGGGGCGAGGCGGUGAUUCGGAGGGGAGAAGAAGAGCGUUAUUCUCUCCUCCGGGUGCCCGUGUCGGCUGAGGUGAGUCUAAAAAUUUAACUGCAAUUCCAGACACCAAUGUUUAAAUAUUGUUUCUGCAGUGGUGGGUGUCCAGUGGAUGCUAUCUGCAGUUGUGACAAACUGAUUUUCAGGAAUUGGGCUGAGGAAAGGAAGGUGAAGGGAGAUACAGUGAUUAAUUGCUGCCAGGUUGUUCUUCUGCUCCUGCGGGAGAGUAGUCCCACGGACAGCACCACCACCUUCACAUGUGGAUGAGGGAGAGUUUUUUCCAGGAGUCUCCACAGAUGGUACCAUGCAUGGCAGGGCCAGGUGGCUGUGUGGAUCCCCCUCGCCAGAGACAAAGUCACCACCCUCUCUGGCUGGGGGUCCAAGGACAGGCCCGAUGUUAUUGCCGGUCCUACAGGGGAAGCAGACGGAUCAGGAGUUAAAACUGUAAUAGGGUUUUCCUGUUCUACGGGGGCUGAUAAAGUCUUCUCCAGAAGCUGAUCGGUCCGAGCCAGUGAAAUUAUCCCUCGAAGGAGUCUCACCAUCCCGAGCGCUGUUCCGGGAGGGAGCACGGCGUGGAAGGGGAGAGGGAUGGGGGACAGGGGGAAGAGGAGCAGGCA